GAGGGACGGGGGAGGGGUGGGGAGGAGGAAUUUGACAACAGAGGUCACAAUCUGCUUACUUCAGAGCCUAUGUACUGCUCCCCAGCGGAUCGGGAUCCUCUCCAUGGAGGCCAUCGCCCAUAGAAUGCCCAUAAAGGCCUAUCUGUGCAACCCGUGGAGAAAACAAAUCCAAUGGAGGAGAAGAAUCCACUUACCUUUACUCACUUAACCGUGGCAUUGUCUACCCGACACCCUCAACUUGAUCCAAACCCGUUGGAGGGGGUUGGGAUGUCUGCUCGGAGAAGAGUGUCGACGACGGUGACGAAGGAGCAGAUUUUCUUGAUGGAGAGAGAGUCGGUGGACUUGAAGAGGAGACUGUUGUGCUUGGAGAUGGGAAAUCGAGCGCCGGAGGAAAAUAACGAGGAAGCGUCUGAGAACGUAUCAGAAAAUGAAGAGGGUUGGGAUGUCUGGUCGGAGAAGAUCGUCGGCAAUGGUGACUGAUUGUUUCAGCAGAUCGUAAUCCACGGAGAACUCUUCCAUGGGCUUUCAUCAAUUCAAUCGGCCAUGACGGCCAUCAAAGAGGAAUCCCUAAAUUCCAAUUAUCAUUUAGAAUCCACGUUUUCGUGGAUGGAUUCCACAGAGGAACGAUUCGAGGAGCUUAGGGAUCUUGAAGUUCUGCUUCAUGUUUGCGUUUGGGAAUGAGGCAAAUAGGUACUCGGCUAUGGUCGACGUUAGGGUGUCCGGUUUGGGUCGAGUAGGGUUAAGUGAGUAAAGGUAAGUGGAUUCUUCUCCUCCAUUGGAUUUGUUUUCUCCACAUGUCGCAUAAAUAAGCAUUCUAUGGGCGAUGGCAUCUAUGGAGAGGAUCCGGAUCCCUCACGAACUGCUACUGUUAUCAAACCGCAACUGCAUGCUUCAUGUGUGUU